CAGCAGCAGCCGCGGGAAAACAGAGGGUGCGAGCGUUAAUCGGAUUUACUGGGCGUAAAGCGUGCGUAGGCGGCUUCUUAAGUCGGAUGUGAAAUCCCUGAGCUUAACUUAGGAAUUGCAUUCGAUACUGGGAAGCUAGAGUAUGGGAGAGGAUGGUAGAAUUCCAGGUGUAGCGGUGAAAUGCGUAGAGAUCUGGAGGAAUACCGAUGGCGAAGGCAGCCAUCUGGCCUAAUACUGACGCUGAGGUACGAAAGCAUGGGGAGCAAACAGGAUUAGAUACCCCGGUAGUCCCUGUCUCUUAUAC
rnacentral:rRNA from 1 species